UACGGGGGGAGCAAGCGUUGUUCGGAUUUACUGGGCGUAAGGGGCGCGUAGGCGGCCAGCACAAGUCAGUUGUGAAAUCUCCGAGCUUAACUCGGAACGGUCAACUGAUACUGUGCGGCUAGAGUGCAGAAGGGGCAACUGGAAUUCUUGGUGUAGCGGUGAAAUGCGUAGAUAUCAAGAGGAACACCUGCGGCGAAGGCGGGUUGCUGGGCUGACACUGACGCUGAGGCGCGAAAGCUAGGGGAGCGAACGGG
rnacentral:rRNA from 1 species